UGUUAAAGUGUAUACAGAUGGCUCUAA
rnacentral:piRNA from 1 species